rnacentral:lncRNA from 1 species
AAAAAAAUAAACAAAGUCUAUCCAAACCAAAAAAAAUCAAUAAAGCCUUUCUCAACCCAGUGCCACGUUUAUUUUGUAAAGUCUCAUUUUCAACUAGAAUUCCUUAUUCUAUACAUUUCCAAUCAUCACUUCAACCUAGUAACAUGAGAAUAUCUACUCGCAAGUUUUUCAUCUAAACUCCCCUUAAAUGGUGCCCAAUGCAGUAAAAUGCAAGACACAAAUCACAUUGGCUAGCCAUUUGACAAGGAGCCUGCAUUGUCAAGCUCUUAAACUGUACCAAUCCAAAGGGAAUUUUUUUCCCUAGACGCAUCCAGGUCAGUGGUCACACCUUCAACCACACUAAGUGUGCAUAAUUGGGUUCUGAGUACCCAGAGUUUACUUGUUAAGAAUUUUUUUGAUGGUGAGACAAUUCAAAAACUACACGAUAAAUGACCUUCCUAAUUAAAGAUACCAGAAGGUUUACUUUGUUUUAGGGCUGUACCUUUAGGUCUCCACUGAGGUGAUGGCAAUGGAGUGUCGCCACCAUAGACUCUUACCCUACAAUCUGGAAAUCUAAAACUACACAACAUAUGUAGAACAAACAAGUCAAUUACACAAUACAUUAAUAGCAGAAAACAACAAAAGGCAGUUAAAAUCAAAAUCCUGAGACCCUCGAGAGCAGGUAAAACCAUCAACAAGAGAGUGCAUCAGACAUCCUUUACAAACAAAACAUCCGCAUAGGAUUUUCACCCAAUAGGUUCAAACUGAAGAAAGAGAUCUUAUCUAAUGCAUAGGUUCAAACUGAAGAAAGAGAUCUUAUCUAAUGCAUAGGUUCAAACUGAAGAAAGAGAUCUUAUCUAAUGCAUCACCCGCACCUCUUCAGCAUAUAUACAAACACACAAAUAUGCACAAACAAGCAAAUAUGGGCUUAUAGAAAGAAUUAUAUGAGCAAAUGCACUUAAAUUGGAAAAGGAAAACAAAAAAAGCAACCUCAGAAAUUAGAAUGAAA